UAAUAAUAUUAAUCAUAAUAAAAAAGGGAAAAAUAUGGUCCCUUGGCCAACCGACCAAGUGUUAUUCCCCAUGCACACUGCUCAAAUUUGAGUGCGACAAUUUGUGAAACAAAAAAAUUCUUUUUUCGUAAGAAAAUACCAUUGAAGAGUGAAUUUCAACAACAUCGCAAAUAAUUUCAAACAUCUCUGGUAAUUGAGUUCUGAGAGUUGGUUUGACUCCAUUUUGCAGGUGGUGUGUUGAAGUAGCAUACAAGCCAUGCGACAAACUGCUAGACGCAAUCAAUCUCACGAUCACGUCGUUUGGAAAAACCCAUCAAC
rnacentral:lncRNA from 1 species